CACCGUAAUAUCCUACACCUGUUUACAUAGAAACCCUACCUAAUUUUAACGUUUUCAAGUUUCCCUCCUCUCUGAACAUCGUAUCCUUCGCGCUCUCAAGAGAAAAUAAAAGCCGAAAGCAGAAAUCUCCUAGGCAAUUUCUCUUAAAAUCUUUUUUCUGGCCCCGAAUUUCUUUACUAUUUUAUUUUCUUCAUAACUCUACCUUUCUCCUUUGAAGCAAACAUAUCACUCCGUAGAAUUAGGCAUUUUCUCAAACUAGGUUUUCUUCUAUUUACAGAUUGGAGCUUUUUCAAACCGGAAUAAAAUUCAGGUAUUCUUUUUUUUUAUUUUUUCUAGGAAGUUUUUUCCAUUCGUUUUCUUAAUCUGACCGGAAACAAAGCAAGAAAUUGUCCGGGCAACUGCUUAGAUUUUGAUGGCACGUGGAAUGUACGGCUCCUCCAAAUAUUAAUUAUGAGCCAGGAAGUAAUUGCAUCGUGUAAAUACUCGGAAAUUAUUUCUGUAUUGGAGAAAUCAUAGAGAAGAUACAAAACCGAUAAACUGAAUGGCAAAUUACAAUGAAAUCGAUGAUAUUCUCGCGGAGGAAGAGUUUGUCCCGGUUGUGUUUCAAAAGGCUAUAAAUGGAGUGAAAAUCGAUGAAAGCACCGAAAAAGGACAUGUUGAACAAGGUUCAAAGACAGAGCUACCUUUCUGGCUUGCUCGUGAAUUGCACAUGAGGCAAGCAGUAUCGAUAAGUGUCCCAGCCUGUUUUAAUCAGAAAACAAGGCUGGAAAUCCAGGCAGAUGCUGCAUGUGUGGACCUGAGAUCCCGCUGCCCUUACUUUUAUGAAUUCGGAUGCAAGCUAGCCCCACUGUGUGAUAAAACCAUUGGAUUGUUGCUCCCAUAUGCAUUUCGAAUCAGGUAUAAGGAAAUCCUACACAAGGCACACACCACAGCAUUUGCCACAGCUUCCAAAUUUCUGACGCACCUAACUAGAGAAGAAACUUCUUUGUAUGAAGCAGCUCAAUCAUCCAUGGCAGCCUUUAAGAAAUGGCGGAUGGGUGGCCCCAGAUUGCAGAGAGCUUCAAUUCUCGGGAGGAAGAGAAAACCAGCUGAGUAGUUGCUCAUUGCUACCCUGCCAACACUCUCAAUUCAAACAACCAAGCUGCAAAGGUCACGACUACUCAAAGGAGAUUUCCAAGUUUCAAGUCCAGCUUUCUCUUGAUGCUGCGGCAUGCCCUUGUUUUUCAUGGUUGAAACAGAAUGUUGUUGGACUACAAGAAUCGAUGCGUGUUGUGCGAAGUCAGAUGUUGAUAAUGCAUCUCCUAGUGGCCCAAGCUCUUCACAGUUACUCCACUCCGAUAGCCCCAAAGCAAAUGGCUUUAUCAUUCCCUGACCCCUCCCCACAAUAUAUAGAUCAUAUUCAUCAGCUAGAUCUUUUGCUGCGAUGAUAAUUUCAUCCCCGCUAUUUACCGACUUAUCCACCCAAGUUGCAGAUGGAUUGCACAUUGUCAUAAAUCGUAACUCAUUCAGGUACAUAUCAUCAACAAAUCUUUGAUUUUCACCCUCCACUUCCUCUUCCAUAUCCAUCAUUUCUAUUGCUUCUUUACCUGGAAGAAAUCGUACAACUUUUAAACUCACAUUCAGAGACCCUGCCAUCCUGCAAGCAUAAGUUAAGGCCUCACGAUCGUCAUGUCCCCCAGUAUAAAACAUGGCAAAAUUUAGCUUUUCUCUGCGAUGGCUACCCUCGUUAUAAAUCUUCAAACUGAGGCCUCGAUCAAUAAAUAUCCCCACAGAGCAUGGAGCUUUUGUUAGUAGAUUUUGGGUUACUAGUCUGAUAGAAGAGUUCUCUUGUUGCAUCCCUUCUGCACCAGAUUGUUUGUGAAAUGGAAUUAGGAUGAAAGUCACGCGUUUGUCCUCAGCAAGGUUAUGGAUAUCCUCGUGCAUGGAGGUGUAAGGAGAUACAACUGUCAGUGGCAGAAAGGACAUUGACUGGUUUCUUCUUUCGUAGUUCUCCAAGGUGCUGAUGAUUUGGUCGGCAUCUGAUCUCCCACGGGCGGGGGGGUAGUUUUGGCCACUGGAAUUACGAUUCUCAUCGUGAACGAUUAGCAUGGCAUUAGUCCGUCCACUCAGACCUACUAGACACGCAGCAAAUACACAAAUUGGUGAUUUCUCGGUUGAAUUAGACAGUUCAAGGAGGUUGAGUAUUCCUGAUAGGUUGCGAGUAGUAUGAAUGCAUGCAAGUAUUCGUAGUUCUGAGUUAGGUUUGCUUUCUUGCAAGGUCCGGAGUUUGUAUUUCCUGAAAUGCUUGGUAGUCUUACAAGCCCAAAGGGGGAUCGGUUUUACAAGAAUCGUCAUGAGUAAAAUUGUCAUCACCAUUAUAGUAAACGGUUGGUUAUCCACAGCCUGCAUGUAAAAACAAGUUGCAAGAAAAUUAGAGGAUAAAAUAAAAAUCGAACUAUUCAAGUUGAGGGUGAAUUAAAGUUUCCUAUUCUUUUUCA